rnacentral:rRNA from 1 species
AACGAACGCUGGCGGCAUGCCUAACACAUGCAAGUCGAACGAACCCUUCGGGGUUAGUGGCGCACGGGUGCGUAACGCGUGGGGAUCUGCCCAAAGGUUCGGAAUAACUCAGAGAAAUUUGAGCUAAUACCGGAUAAUGUCUUCGGACCAAAGAUUUAUUGCCUUUGGAUGAACCCGCGUAGGAUUAGCUUGUUGGUGGGGUAAAGGCCUACCAAGGCGACGAUCCUUAGCUGGUCUGAGAGGAUGAUCAGCCACACUGGGACUGAGACACGGCCCAGACUCCUACGGGAGGCAGCAGUGGGGAAUAUUGGACAAUGGGCGAAAGCCUGAUCCAGCAAUGCCGCGUGAGUGAUGAAGGCCUUAGGGUUGUAAAGCUCUUUUACCAGGGAUGAUAAUGACAGUACCUGGAGAAUAAAGCUCCGGCUAACUCCGUG